UACAGAGGUCCCAAGCGUUACUGAGAAUCACUGGGUUAAAGGGUGCGUAGGUGGUCCGUUAAGUCAGUUGUGAAAUCCCCGGGCUCAACCCGGGAACUGCUUCUGAUACUGGCGGACUUGAGGCCAGUAGAGGUCACUGGAACUGACGGUGGAGCGGUGAAAUGCGUAGAUAUCGUCAGGAACGCCGGUGGUGAAGACGGGUGACUGGGCUGGUUCUGACACUGAGGCACGGAAAGCGUGGGGGAGCCGAACGGGG
rnacentral:rRNA from 1 species